CUGCCUAAAUCUAACACUGGCCGCUNCUUUUACAGGUUAACACAUCAUCGAACGGUAACAGGACUCUUCGCUACGAGUGGCGGACGGGUAUAAUGUCUUUGGGAAACUGCCUGAUGGAGUGGGGAUAACUACUGGAAACGGUAGCUAAUACCGCAUAACGUCCAAGACCAAAGAGGGGGACCUUCGGGCCUCUUCCAUCGGAUGUGCCCAGAUGGAUUAGCUAGUAGGUGGGGUAACGGCUCACCUAGCGACGAUCCCUAGCUGGUCUGAGAGGAUGACCAGCCACACUGGAACUGAGACACGGUCCAGACUCCUACAGGAGGCAGCAGUGGGGAAUAUUGCACAAUGGGCGCAAGCCUGAUGCAGCCAUAGCCGCGUUGUAUAGAAGAAGGCCUUCGGGUUUGUAAAGUACUUUCAGCGGGGAGGAAGGCGAUAANGGUUAAUAACCUUUGGUCGAUUGACGUUACCCGGCAAGAAGAAGGCAACCCGUAGCUAAAGCUCCCGUUGACCCAGACAAUGCCCCGCGGUAAAUUACC
rnacentral:rRNA from 1 species